rnacentral:rRNA from 1 species
GCAGAAGAGGACAGUGGAACUCCAUGUGUAGCGGUGGAAUGCGUAGAUAUAUGGAAGAACACCAGUGGCGAAGGCGGCUGUCUAGUCUGUAACUGACGCUGAGGCUCGAAAGCAUGGGUAGCGAACAGGAUUAGAUACCCUGGUAGUCCAUGCCGUAAACGAUGAGUGCUAGGUGUUGGAGGGUUUCCGCCCUUCAGUGCCGCAGCUAACGCAUUAAGCACUCCGCCUGGGGAGUACGACCGCAAGGUUGAAACUCAAAGGAAUUGACGGGGGCCCGCACAAGCGGUGGAGCAUGUGGUUUAAUUCGAAGCUACGCGAAGAACCUUACCAGGUCUUGACAUACUAUGCAAAUCCUAGAGAUAGGACGUUCCCUUCGGGGACAUGGAUACAGGUGGUGCAUGGUUGUCGUCAGCUCGUGUCGUGAGAUGUUGGGUUAAGUCCCGCAACGAGCGCAACCCUUAUUAUCAGUUGCCAGCAUUAAGUUGGGCACUCUGGUGAGACUGCCGGUGACAAACCGGAGGAAGGUGGGGAUGACGUCAAAUCAUCAUGCCCCUUAUGACCUGGGCUACACACGUGCUACAAUGGACGGUACAACGAGUUGCGAAGUCGUGAGGCUAAGCUAAUCUCUUAAAGCCGUUCUCAGUUCGGAUUGUAGGCUGCAACUCGCCUACAUGAAGUUGGAAUCGCUAGUAAUCGCGGAUCAGCAUGCCGCGGUGAAUACGUUCCCGGGCCUUGUACACACCGCCCGUCACACCAUGAGAGUUUGUAACACCCAAAGCCGGUGAGAUAACCUUCGGGAGUCAGCCGUCUAAGGUGGGACAGAUGAUUAGGGUGAAGUCGUAANCAAGGUAGCCGUA